ncrna:unclassified sequences PhotoRC-II RNA
GAACAUAUAUUCUGCUCCCCUUCAACCAAGACCUAUAGGGAGGAUAAAUUACGUCUUCAUAUCCAGUAGUGAGGGAUUACUGGAAAUAAGUUUCGCA